rnacentral:rRNA from 1 species
CCUACGGGAGGCUGCAGUGAGGAAUAUUGGUCAAUGGGCGCGAGCCUGAACCAGCCAAGUCGCGUGCGGGAGGACGGCCCUACGGGUUGUAAACCUCUUUUGCCGGGGAGCAACGGGCGCCACGUGUGGCGUCACUGAGAGUACCCGGAGAAAAAGCAUCGGCUAACUCCGUGCCAGCAGCCGCGGUAAUACGGAGGAUGCGAGCGUUAGUCGGAUUUAUUGGGUUUAAAGGGUGCGUAGGCGGAUCGUUAAGUCAGUGGUCAAAUUGAGGGGCUCAACCCCUUCCCGCCAUUGAUACUGGCGUUCUUGAGUGGAAGAGAAGUAUGCGGAAUGCGUGGUGUAGCGGUGAAAUGCAUAGAUAUCACGCAGAACCCCGAUUGCGAAGGCAGCAUGCCGGCUUCCGACUGACGCUGAGGCACGAAAGCGUGGGGAGCGAACAGGAUUAGAUACCCUUGUAGUC